UACGAAGGGGGGCUAGCGUUGCUCGGAAUCACUGGGCGUAAAGCGCACGUAGGCGGAUUCUUAAGUCGGUGGUGAAAUCCUGGAGCUCAACUCCAGAACUGCCUUCGAUACUGAGAGUCUUGAGUUCGGGGAGAGGUAGUGGAACUGCGAGUGUAGAGGUGAAAUUCGUAGAUAUUCGCAAGAACACCAGUGGCGAAGGCGGCUCACUGGCCCGAUACUGACGCUGAGGCACGAAAAGCGUGGGG
rnacentral:rRNA from 1 species